rnacentral:rRNA from 1 species
UACAGAGGUCUCAAGCGUUGUUCGGAUUCAUUGGGCGUAAAGGGUGCGUAGGCGGCGCGGUAAGUCGGGUGAGAAAUCUUGGAGCUUAACUCCGAAACUGCAUUCGAUACUGCCGUGCUUGAGGACUGGAGAGGAGACUGGAAUUUACGGUGUAGCGGUGAAAUGCGUAGAUAUCGUAAGGAAGACCAGUGGCGAAGGCGGGUCUCUGGACAGUUCCUGACGCUGAGGCACGAAGGCCAGGGGAGCAAACGGG